rnacentral:tRNA from 7 species
GGCGGCUUAGCUCAGUUGGUAGAGCACGGCAUUGAAAAUGCCGGUGUCCCCGGUUCAAGUCCGGGAGUCGCCA